rnacentral:rRNA from 1 species
UACGGAGGGGGCUAGCGUUGUUCGGAAUUACUGGGCGUAAAGCGCACGUAGGCGGCUUUGUAAGUUAGAGGUGAAAGCCCGGGGCUCAACUCCGGAAUUGCCUUUAAGACUGCAUCGCUAGAAUUGUGGAGAGGUAAGUGGAAUUCCGGGUGUAGCGGUGGAAUGCGUAGAGAUCCGGAAGAACACCGGUGGCGAAGGCGGUCUGCUGGGCAGUUGCUGACACUGAUGCGCGACAGCGUGGGGAGCAAACAGG